GCGGCGAGCUGCCGAAGGCCGUGUUGUGUGCUCUCUCUCGUUCAGCUGAAUCAAACCGACUACAAAGUUCUUCUAUAACAAGACGUUUCAAAUGUUUUGCUCUCGCAAUGUCAUUUCCACCACAACGUCCUUUCAAUAGCUUACACACAAUUAGACAACAUCAACAAGUCGGUAAUAUAAUGCCAUUUAAUAGCAGUUCCCCAGGGAUAAACAGUUAUUAUAACAGCGGUGUCUUAGCAACUGCAAAAAAAUCAGCAGGCAUCAGUCAAGUGAAAAGGCUCAGGCCUGCAACCCUCUACUACUCUAACAUCAGGAAAAGGACUGGGCUCGCUCAGCCAGUCAAGCUACUACUGUAGUACUCACGUCUCAUGAACAACAGCAUCAAAAACAAAACACACACACACACACACCCCCCACUCGGCAAAUCACAGUCCCGUUCCGAAUCCAUGAGUAAAACUCUCACCUUCCUCGUCUUGAAUAUGUACAGUAUUUACAUAGAAGGUACAGUGCAGCUCCUCUCCCGAAACAAGGAAUCGGUUUGUGCUUUUGCUUGUUUAAUCCACAGUAGGGCCUAGAGUCUAAACGUGAUCGUGAAUAGAAUCAUUCAAUACAUUCACUCACAUACAGUUGUAUUCAAGAUCCUCCAGAAUGGCAGUUUUUGGCAAUGACAGACGAUCAGUGAAAAGACUGAACAAAACAUGACAAGUUAUGUUAAAGAUAUGGUAAUAGAAACAUAUUUCACCCCAACAAACAAGCAAACCUGGCGAUGCAUUAGAAUGCGUGUUUAGAUUUGAAGGUCUGCCCAUGAACCACUUUUAUUGUUACACGUCUCUGGAAAACACACAUCAAUUCAUUUAUUGGAUAUCCGAGAAUACAUUACGUUAUGAUAAUAUACAUGUUUAAGGAAAGAAGUGAUAUCCAUACAUACAUAUUUACAAUACAAAUCGGCUCUGUGCCAUUGCAUUACAAAGUAGCUUAAAAACAGAUCUUCAAAUUCUGUACUUAGCAUUCAAGGUCAGUUACAUUGAGAUGGUUGAAGCGUGUACAUUUUUUCGAAACCGUUAAGGCAACCAAAAAAUAAAUAACAUUCAGAGUGAAGGAAAUUGAGGCAAUGUUUGUCCGCACAUCUUAAGACAGACGAGUAAGGAAUACUGUUAACUGAAAUUACUUUAAUGGCACUUAAAAAAAUAAAAUCGUUAUUAUGUUUAUUUUUUUUGCUUGAUUUAUCAGGCAACAGUAUGUCCUGCAAAAUACGAUCUGUACCUAGGAAGAGGUGCACGUUUGUUCUGAACCUGCAGGGAGAACCAUGUUCUCUCUGCAGGUUCUAAAGGGCGUCCGGUUCUCUUGUCUGAAGGCAGGAGGUGUCCUAGUCACUCUUCAUCUGAUUGGCCCUUGUACAAGUAAACAACAAAGGUCAGCUCAAAUCCCGGUCUGAGAAACAAACAGGGUACUCAGUGUGGUUAGUUAUAAUAAAUAAUGUGUCAGUGAUUCCUGUUCUGGUUUGUUUAAAUCAUAAUAAUACUACGUCGCCCCUUGUAUUUUUCGAGGAGCUGAAAUACAUUAUUAUGACUAUUUCCUCCCACAGAGAUGACGUGCUGUUAAAGGUGUCCCUUACGUGGCUGUGGGCACUUUGAUGGGCCACCUGAUAUAGGAUCUCCUCGGGUUGCUAGGGAAAUUCCCAUUAGCCCCAGUUAGCCUUGAGCUAUUCCAGGCUUUUCAAAUGGUCAUGAUUUUCAAUUUUCACUUGAUACAAUGUUCCCGUCAUGUGACCUUGGGGGGAAGGGGGCUAUGAGGAGUUUGGGGUGGUGUUUCUCAUCGAUGGUGCUGUUUAUUUUAAGUUUAUGUGUGAAUCGUCUGUGUGUGUGUGUGUGUGUGUGUGUGUGUGUGUGUGUGUGUGUUGCUUGUGUUGAAAUGACAUUUAAAAAAUAUAGUUUAUUAAAACAUGGUUUUACCUGCUCUAUAUAUACUCCAACCUUCCUCCUUUCAUUAUUUCUUUCUUCCUCUUUCCUCCACCACAGCCAGUGCCACGGCCUCUCUAUCGUCAUCUUUCUAUCCAAUCACAGCCUCUCUAUCCUGGUCGCUCUAUCCAAUUGCGGCCUGAAUAUUUAUACUGCAGUAGUCCCACUCAAUGUUCUUUUGCUGAUCUUAAUGGUCAUUAAAAGUGGUGAAUAGAGGAAGAGAGAGAGAGGAAGGGGAGAGAGAGUGGCCGAGAGAGCAGAGAAAGAGGAAGAGGAAGAGAAAGAUGGAGGGAGAGAGGGAGAGAGAGAGAGAGAGAGAGAGGGAGAGAGAGAGAGAGAGAGAGAGAGAGAGAGAGAGAGAGAGAGAGAGAGAGAGAGAGAGAGAGAGAGAGAGAGAGAGAGACACACACACAGAGAGAAACAGGAAAAGAGAGGGAGAGAAGAGAGAUGGAGAGAGAUAGAGAGAGUGAGAGUUGACUGACGGAAUACAAACAAGAGAGAUGGACACACACACACACACACACACACACACACACACACACAAGAAAGCUGUGUGUCAUUACAGUGAACGUAGGGCUGGCAGAAAUAAUGCUGACAUUUAAAGUUGCCCACUCCCUCCACUAAGGUGAGUUAUGACCCUGUGUCCCUAGAGAGAGAGAGAGAGAGAGAGAGAGAGAGAGAGAGAGAGAGAGAGAGAGAGAGAGAGAGAGAGAGAGAGAGAGAGAGAGAGAGAGAGAGAGAGAGAGAGAGAGAGAGAGAGAGAGAGAGAGAGAGAGAGAGAGAGAGAAAGAGAGAGAAAGAGAGAUCUCGGCUUUCCUCACACACUUGGAAUCAUUGACUUCUGUUGUACGUGAUCACAUGGGUAUAUGUGUGCCUGCGGGUGUGUUUGUUGCUAUGCAUUAAUUUGUGUAUGUUUGUGAGUGUGAGUGUGUGUGUGUGUGUGGGUGUUUGUGUGUGUGUGUGUGUGUGUGAAAGAGAGAAAGAGAGAACUGGAGAUGAUAGGAUUAAAUUGGAAAUGCAAUUGGUUUGCGUUUUAUGUGCACGUGUGUUUAUGUGUAUGUGUGUGUGUGUGUGAGUGUGUAUUCUCCAACCGAUGGACAAAGCAACUACAGCUGGAAAGGAUUUUUGUCUCACACCAACACAUGCUCUCUCACACUAAACCCCACUCCCAGGACAGUAGAAUCCCCCCCCCCCACAUUAAUAUAGUCUUUAUAUAGUAAAGUUGAAACACUGUAGUCAGUUAUUUUUUUGUUUUUGCCUUAGCAGGCAGAGUCACCGUAAUGUCCGAGGAGGGAAUUUACACAUCAUACAGGAUCAUUUGUAUUUACAGAAAAAGUCUUUCAGUCGUUCCCCUCUAGUGCUGUUGGCAGUGGCGAUACGUGCACUAAAUCCAGCUCUGCAUUGUCUUUAAAGCCCAUCUACUCUUCCAUCCGCCCUCCAAACUCAUCCCUUCCUCUCCUUCCCCUCUUCGCCCUCUUGUUUUCUCCCUCCGCCGGAGAGAGGAGGAGGAGGAGGAAGAGGAAGAGGAGAGGGAGCAGUGGGAAGGAGAGGUGGGCGGGUGAUGGGGGAUAUGGGCUGACACGGGGGCUCAUAAAGGCUGAAUGACAAUGAUCUAGCGACGGAGCCCAAGGAGAAAGGGGAAGUUAACAGUAAGAGUUGAGAGAGGUUCCGUGGAGCUGCACGUGGCUCCAUGUAGCAGGGUACAGAGACAGGACUGCAGACUCAUCCAGCCCCAAGCGCCCCACCUCUUUGUGUCUCACUGGCCCGUCUGAGUCCUCUCACUGCAGCUCUUCUUGCUCAUGAGCUGGCUGAGAUCCACCAACUCCCCCAGGUCCC
ensembl:lncRNA